GUGGACGGAUGGGCUUUGGGCUUGUGGGUGCAGGGAGGGAUCCCUGUGUGAACGGAUGGCUCAACCAACUGUCCCAUUUUUCCAGGGUCCGAGGGGUCUCCCGGGGUGUGGAUUUUUCAAGGCUAACGUUGAGUUGAUCCGUAGCAAACUGGGAAUUUCAUCACCCUACCAGAUGGAUGGACAGAGGACUAGACGGGGAUGGAUGGAAAGACGGACAAAAGAGUGACUGUAGACUGAUGCAAGGAAACGGAUUCAUCCAGACAUUAUUGACAAAGCUUGGAAGCUGGAGCUGAAAUCCUCAGAAGGUCCGUCCCUUGAAGCGUGUAUGAUGCUGGCUGUCAGCUGAUGCUGGGGCUGAG